UACGUAGGGUGCGAGCGUUGUCCGGAAUUAUUGGGCGUAAAGGGCUCGUAGGCGGUCUGUUGCGUCGGGAGUGAAAACUCAGGGCUUAACCCUGAGCCUGCUUCCGAUACGGGCAGACUAGAGGUAUGCAGGGGAGAACGGAAUUCCUGGUGUAGCGGUGAAAUGCGCAGAUAUCAGGAGGAACACCGGUGGCGAAGGCGGAUCUCUGGGCCUUACCUGACGCUGAGGCGCGAAAGCGUGGGGAGCAAACAGG
rnacentral:rRNA from 1 species